GCCCGGGUGGUGAAAUUGGUAAACACAAGGGACUUAAAAUCCCUCGCUUAACAGCUUACGGGUUCGAUUCCCGUCCCGGGCACCA
rnacentral:tRNA from 1 species